rnacentral:rRNA from 1 species
GAUGAACGCUGGCGGCGUGCCUAAUACAUGCAAGUCGAGCGAACGGACGAGAAGCUUGCUCCUCUAACGUUAGCGGCGGACGGGUGAGUAACACGUGGAUAACCUACCUAUAAGACUGGGAUAACUUCGGGAAACCGCAGCUAAUACCGGAUAAUAUUUUGAACCGCAUGGUUCAAUAGUUAAUGACGGCUUUGCUGUCACUUUUAGAUGGAUCCGCGCUGCAUUAGCUAGUUGGUAAGGUAACGGCUUACCAAGGCAACGAUGCGUAGCCGACCUGAGAGGGUGAUCGGCCACACUGGAACUGAGACACGGUCCAGACUCCUACGGGAGGCAGCAGUAGGGAAUCUUCCGCAAAGGGCGAAAGCCUGACGGAGCAACGCCGCGUGAGUGAUGAAGGUCUUCGGAUCGUAAAACUCUGUUAUUAGGGAAGAACAAAUGUGUAAGUAACUAUGCACGUCUUGACGGUACCUAAUCAGAAAGCCACGGCUAACUACGUG